AUUGCCUUGCUGGUCUGGUGCAAGUGCUGGAGUAUGGCAAGACAAGUUAACUAUAAAGGGAGCCAGAUUGAUAACGUCCGAUUUUUCGUUUUGGCAAUUUAGAGGCAGAUUUGCAAAGUUCACGCUUCUCUUUUUACCUCUUACAUUGCACUUGAGUAUCACACGAGCAACGGGUAGCUGUGCUCAUAAAUGGACGAUAGUGGAAGGGUAAUUAGUUUAAGCAGGGAGGUGCCUCUCAGUGGCUGCGCCUUGGGAAUCAUGGGAAGGAUGGAGUCUGGCUGUUUCUGGAUGCUUCCGUGGCUCUUUCUGCUCUACUCUCCCAGGGCCAGGCAGGUGCGGGACGCAGUGCAUUGUUGUACCAUCUCCUCCCAAUAUUGCACUCGUCCCGGCCUCCCGGACCUUUGGGAAACCCCUUCACCUCUGCAGGGGUGAAGAAGGGCAACUUUUUUUUUCUUUUUUUUUUGAGACGUUUCCUGGAACACCUGCCAUGAAACGAGUGGUUUGAAUAGCAGAACUGAGGAGUCAUUACGUCAUUGUGGGGGGGGGGCACAGAUGGUUCAGUCCUGUAAACAAGUGAAUUGAAUGAACUUUUGCAGUUCGUUUAUUUAAUAAUCCGAUUUUAACAUAGAUUGGACAGUAAGUCAGGUAUGGUUUUAAAUUCAGGAUCUGUUUAUCUAUUACAGUAUGAAGUGGUUCUCAAUUAAACAGGUAACACAGGAAAACGUUGCACAUAAAGUAAAAAAAAGAACAACAACAAACUAUAUCAUCAUGUAAUGUAGAAUGCAGUGUAGACAAUGUUAAAUUUGGUUUAGUAAACGUACCAAUGAUAUGCUACUAGGAUAUCAUUGAGACUGUUUUAGCACAGAAAUUAUAGCCAUAAUUAUUUUGUCUUGAUGAAGACGGAUUAUUAUCGUAGGAUGAAUGCAAACUUAAUAGUGCAGUAAAUAUGUUUUUAAAUCCAUUAUGAUUAUCAUCAUUUCUCUUAGGAGGCCGUUUCCAUGAUCUGAGAAACACUAAUGCUGUCCAGUUCCAACGUCCCACAAAGCAACAGGCUCCAGACCCCUUGUGACCCCAAAUAGGACAAGCAGUUACAGAAAAUGGAUGGAUGGAUGGAUACAGCCUAAAUAUGAUCAGCUGCACUCUGACAUUGAGCAAAUAUAAUUAAUCACUUUGUUUUCUUUAAAAAAAAAAAUGUAGUAUUCAAAAGGAAGAACAAAUAAAAGAGGUAAUAUCAGCUUCCAAGAUGGAUCCUGAGGUUCAGGGUGAAAGAAACUCACAUCCAAGUUAACUGUGGAACUCAGAUCAGAUAUGGUGCUUAUGUGGUGUUUUGCAGGCAUGCUGACCAAAGACGUUUUUCUUUCUUUCUACAGCUGUUUGUGCAUGUAAAGUAUCACUUCUCACUGUGCAUUUGCUAAAGGGCGGCCAGAAUGUAAGAAACUUGAUACCAAACUUGCAGUUAGUUAUUGUAUUUAUCUGCCUGGAUGUUGGUAAAUUAAAAGAGAAUAAUCUAGAACAUAAUCCACUCUAUGAACUUUUUGUCAAUGACAUGCGAUUUAUACAAUGAGUAUAGCAUCACAUUGUAGUUUUACAUUAAAAACUCCAGUUCAGAAAUGGUC